rnacentral:rRNA from 1 species
UCAGAAUGCUACGGUGAAUACGUUCCCGGGCCUUGUACACACCGCCCGUCACACCAUGGGAGUGGGUUGCAAAAGAAGUAGGUAGCUUAACCUUCGGGAGGGCGCUUACCACUUUGUGAUUCAUGACUGGGGUGAAGUCGUAACAAGGUAACCGUAGGGGAACCUGCGGUUGGAUCACCUCCUUACCUUAAAGAA